rnacentral:lncRNA from 1 species
UGGCUCUCCCCCUGCUCACCAGUCAACUCUGCUUCACCAGGGAGGGAAACCGAUGGACUGAAGCCACAGGGCUGGCAGCCUGCAGCUCUCAUUUCCAAAGAUUUGUCAAUGAUGCUCCAGGUUCACGCUAGAAGAUUCUGCCUUGGGAUUCACAACCCAACUGGAACAAACCGUGUUCUUGGUGCGGACCCAGGGAUGACAUGCAGAAAAUUCAUAUCAGAAUGAAAGCCGGGAUCCUGGCCAGGAUGCGUGGUCCUGUGGUCAAGACCACGUGGGCAAGCAGGGAGGGAGCACCUAUCUGGAGAUGAGAAGACGGAGAGGGGCUGAUGCCUUCAAGCACAUGCCACGGGUUUGGCAAACACCAAUUCAUUUGAGACCUCUUGUGCAGCUGGAAACAAUGCAAGUUUAUUUUGGCACUGGAGAGAGGGCCGACUCCUCUGCUCUGGACGCCUC